rnacentral:rRNA from 1 species
GGGAGUGGCAAGCGUUAUCCGGAAUUAUUGGGCGUAAAGCGUCCGCAGGCGGCCCUUCAAGUCUGCUGUUAAAAAGUGGAGCUUAACUCCAUCAUGGCAGUGGAAACUGUUGGGCUUGAGUGUGGUAGGGGCAGAGGGAAUUCCCGGUGUAGCGGUGAAAUGCGUAGAUAUCGGGAAGAACACCAGUGGCGAAGGCGCUCUGCUGGGCCAUCACUGACGCUCAUGGACGAAAGCCAGGGGAGCGAAAGGGAUUAGAUACCCCUGUAGUCCUGGCCGUAAACGAUGAACACUAGGUGUCGGGGGAAUCGACCCCCUCGGUGUCGUAGCCAACGCGUUAAGUGUUCCGCCUGGGGAGUACGCACGCAAGUGUGAAACUCAAAGGAUUUGACGGGGGCCCGCACAAGCGGUGGAGCAUGUGGU